GAUGAACGCUAGCUACAGGCUUAACACAUGCAAGUCGAGGGGUAACGAGAGGAAAGCUUGCUUUCCUUGUCGACGACCGGCGCACGGGUGAGUAACGCGUAUCCAACCUGCCCCCAACUAGGGAAUAACCUUGCGAAAGUAAGACUAAUACCCUAUAAUUUCCUCAGAUGUCAUCUGACGAAGAAUAAAGAUUUAUCGGUUGUGGAUGGGGAUGCGUCUGAUUAGCUUGUUGGCGGGGUAACGGCCCACCAAGGCAACGAUCAGUAGGGGUUCUGAGAGGAAGGUCCCCCACAUUGGAACUGGGACACGGUCCAAACUCCUACGGGAGGCAGCAGUGAGGAAUAUUGGUCAAUGGGCGGAAGCCUGAACCAGCCAAGUAGCGUGCAGGAUGACGGCCCUAUGGGUUGUAAACUGCUUUUAUACAGGAAUAAAGUUAGCCACGUGUGGUUAUUUGUAGGUACUGUAUGAAUAAGGACCGGCUAAUUCCGUGCCAGCCGCCGCGGUAA
rnacentral:rRNA from 1 species